UGUUAUACUUGAUUGAAAAUUUAUUUAAGCUUGAGUAGUAAUCAGUUAUGUUCUUGAAACUUAAAGGAUUUGGCGGUAUUUUAGUCUAGUUAGAGGAACCUGUUCUAUAAACGAUAAGCCACGAAUUAUCUUACUUCUUUUAGUUAAAUCAGCUUGUAUACCGUCAUUAUUAGAUAAUCUUUAUAAAGAAUUGUUAAGAUAAAUAUUUGUUAAUAUAUUAGAUCAAGGUGCAGCUAAUAGGGAAGAAAGUAAUGGGUUACAAUAUUAUUUGAUAUAUAUGGAUAAUAUAAGUGGAAUGUUUUUUGAAGGUGGAUUUAAUGGUAAUUAUAUUUUAAUAAGAUAUAGUGAUAUUAGCUCUAAGAUAU
rnacentral:rRNA from 1 species